CAGAAACAAAUCCGACUAGGAACCAUGAAGUUUCGGAUUCGAUCCCUGGCCUCGCUCAGUGGGUUAAGGAUCCGGCAUUACCAUGGCUGUGGUGUAGAUCACAGAUGCGGCUCGGAUCUGGCAUUGCUGUGGCUUUGGCGUAGGCCAGCAACAACAGCUCUGAUUAGACCUCCAUAUGCCGCGAGUGCCGCCCUAAAAAGACAAAAAAAAAAAAAAAAAAAAAAAGAUGUGCACUGAAUUUUCAGUUUGGUGGACGCUGGUCCUUUUCAUUGUCCUUUUAACAGCUUGAUACCCAGGCCUUAUGGAAAUGAUCUCAGCACUCUGUGAAAGGUGAGCAACUCUCAGCCAACCCCAGGUGAGUAUGAAGAAUUCUCCCAAAGCCCACAGUAGCAAAUGGUCAGAUUGAUCUUCAGUCAAAGGAAAGAUCAAACUGCUUGAACAAGCUUACUGCCAUAGAUGCUACAUACAAUUCUCCUAAGAGUCCUGGAAUUCUGGAAAGUCAGUGAGCUCACAUCAUCUUAGAGUUCUCUUUGGCCUUUAGUAACAGAACAAUCAAUUCCGUUAGGAUUACACCUAAGAAAAUAUGGGUGAAAUAGUGACAUAAUGCUGUAAAAUUAAGAGGCAAAAUCCACAAUGUUCUGAAGGAGUGUCUUUCUGCUUCCUGUUUAGUUUUGCUCACUAUUCUACCUCAGUCCUUGGCUUAGUGCUGUAAUAGAUAGUCAAGAAAUAUUCUUUGAACAUCAGCCUUCAAUGAACCCUGAGGUACAUUAAAGAUGCCUAAUCCUGUAAGAAGUUGCGAAUCAUUAUAUAUCUAAAUUUGUUAUCUACUUUGAAUUAUGAAGUCUAGUUUUUCUAUUUGCUCCAAAUCUUAAUCACCUUAGGUAAAACAGGCUACUUUUAGUUUGCAUUAUUUCUCAGUCUUUCCACUACCACCUGUGAUAACUCAAAACCAAUCCUUUGAUGCUGAUACUUUCUGAUACUCUCCUUUAAAUCUCCCUUGGUAGAAUGUUUAAAGGGAAUUCCAAAUUGGAUCCCUUCCAAGGUGAACCCAUGCUGAAUAUAUGAUGUUACACUUUAAAAUUUAGAGUUUCCCCUAGCUAAGAAGAUUUGUUCCUUGAACCUCAAAUUUUAGGAAGAAAAUGCUAGAUCGUAAUUCAUAAAGGAUUUGUUUUCCUUUUUGCAGGGAAUACAGUCCACUAGGUGGCAUCUCAACACACAGAAAGCUGGAUCUAUGCAUUGGUGAUGAAUCCAAUAUACUGUUUUAAAAAUAGGCUCUAAAUUGCCCUCAACUAUAUGGUUGUAAUACUAUUGAAAUACUCAGCAUUUGUGAAGAAGAUUCUGUGGUGAAGGAACUAUGUUUCUGUAUUAGAUAAUAGAUGUUCUAAUAGAAUCCCGCUGCUUUUUCUGAUGGAGAACUAUUCUGAAAUUGCAUCCAAGGAUGGAAAAGUUGAUAUGGAAGCACUCUCAUCAGGUAACUCCAGUUUCUGGGAGGUGUGAUUAGGAGAGAUUCUGGUCUUUUGCUUUCAAUCAUCAUGAGGAGCACAGCAUCCAAAGCCUGGCAUCCAGAAAUAAUUCUUGGUUAUUUCAUAAAAAUGAAUGCAUUCAAUUAAAUCAGCAUUUAUUGACCACUGGCUCUUUGUGACAGCCUCAGCUGUUGAGGAACAAGAUGAAGCAGAGAGAAGAAAACAGAUUUUAUAUUUCGAGAAACUGAGAUUGAUAGCAAGUGGUAGAAAGCAUGGGAUUUUGAUUCUCACAAGCCUGUGUUUGAAUCCCAGCUCCUACCAAAUACCUUAAGCCUGCAUGUUGAUUUUCUCAUCUGCAAAACUGAGACAACUGUAUCAACCUCAUAUGAUUACUGGGAACAUGAAAUGAGGCCAUAUACUUAAAAUAUUGAGCACAGUGUUUGGCAAUAGUUAGCUUUCAUAGUGUGAUUGUUCCCCAAGACAAAUUAACCAAGCACAGUAAGGGGAAAUGGGGCACCAGGCAUACCUAGCAGACCAUGGGUGGGUGUGCUGAAUGAACCACAUUUAUGCUGAUAUGAUGGCUGGGUUUUCUUGAUCUGGACACAUCCUUCCCUUGAGAAGAACAUCUGCUGGCUGAAACUCCUCACCUUGGUCCUGUCCACAUUUCUCCAUUUCCAUCCCCACCCUCUUUUAGUGAAGACCACUCAGGCUUCUCCCAUGUACUAAUCUGCAUAGCUUGUUUAGAGAUUUGAGCCUACAAAAGGAUUCUUAGGCAACAAAAGAGAGAAGUUACUUUGUCCACAUGCUCAAGACGCCUGCUUUGUGGAUAUUAUCAAGACAGAUUGUGUAGCAAAUUGAAGAAGGCCGCCCAGAGUGUCAGAAUGUAUGUACAGUAAUUGAAAAGUAUUGCUUGCACACUUUCAGUAUCUGGACAAUCCCCCAGCAGACAAUGGCAUCAAGGGAUAUAAUGCACCAUAAAGGAUGGAUUCCAGCUGCAUCCAGGACAAAUGUCAUGCACAUGCCCUGAGGAGGGUAGGAAGGGCAUCCACUACACUAAUGGUUUCCAAGGGAGAUGAUACUCCUGUUUUUCAUGAGUCAGAGACAAGAAAGGGGCUUUGUCAAAAACACCCUCUGUGCUCACAUUUGGCUCAGUGUUUUAUGCUUCCUGAACGACCCACCUGAAGAUGUACUGCCUGCUCUUAUUUUGGUGUUUCCCGAGAGUGUCCAGGGUUUCCAUCAUUAACUAAUCCCUAAUCACUAUCCUCCAGUUUUGAAUCACUGAUUCCCCCAAUGUCUCCCACCUGGCUGGUGACUGCACUGUGUUUUCACAGCCACCAAAGGAAUGGUAAACUUUACCUCUCAGAAGACUGAGUGAAGGCUUUGUUUUGCCUUGUGAAUUUGCUCAUUUGGUGUCCUUGGCUUGGGCCUGUGUGGAUGGGACUUGAUUGGAUUUGAGAUUUGAGAUUGAUUUCCUAUGAACUCCACUGGGAGCCAGAAGAAGAAUGGAGUGACAGAGGGACUGCUGAUCUUUGACCCCAGCCAAUUGAUGGCUGUUGUCAUCACUGUUGGUGGCUGCUCUGAACAAGAAUGCAUUGUCUCUCCAUCUAUUGUGGACUUGCCUUCAAAGUCAAUCUUCACAGGAUGUACCCCUUUAAUCAGGGAAUGUGCCCUUCCACCUAGGCAAAGGAUGGAUGAGGAAAGCAGAUAAAAUAGUGAAAUGGAAGCUGCAUGUUGUUGGAUCCCUUGCUUAUCAUUAUGGAGGGAAAGGCCAGGUUUUAUCCCAGUCUGCCUGCUUCGAAUCUCAUCUUCUAGACAAGAGUUUGGUUAAAGGAAAUGAUGUCUGGCGCUAAAAUUUUGCUUAACAGAAUGAUUGGAGAGGGGACCUCUUUUGAGUGACCCUUGAAACGAGGGAGCAAACUAGACAGAGACACCUGGAGGAAGAGGGUCCCACACAGAGGGAGCAGCAAGAGCCGAUGCGCUGAGGUGGGAGGAUACCUGAUGAGCCUGAGGACCAGCAUGGAGGCCCAUGUGGCUGGAAAGAAGGAACAAGCGGGAGAGAGCAUCUCUUCUCCCUUUUUGUGGUGAAAGAAUCCCAGCUGAACUUGGAGGAACCUCAAUCAAGGCGGGAUUGUUCAUGAAGGUCCCGUGACUCAAGCUUGGCCAGUCAGAUGGUGUCUUCCUGAAACUGGCAUCUUAGCGGAAGUAACUCUAGGGCAGAAAUUAGACAAAGCUCAUCCACCUGGAAGGCAGCACCAUGAAGAGAUCGUGCAUGGCGCCUGACCCAGAUCUAUGGACUACUGCGGAUCUUUUCAGACUUUUUUUCCACUUGAGUCAGCCAGUGACAGCAUCUGCUACCAAAGACCUUUAAUUCAUUCUCCUGCAAGAGUCUUGGCCUCCUCUCUCCUGGCAUUUACACAGCAACAUCAGGGAGGCUCCAGUCGGAGAAGAGGCUAAAGAAAGCUUACCUGCCGAAGAAUUUUCCCCUCUCAGCUGAUGCCUCGAUUUAGCCUGGCUUUAUAAUUCUUGUUCAACUCCCCUGAUGCGACCUGACAGUUUGAGGAGUACUGUUUCUCCACGAUAAGAAAGCGUUUGCCUUAGGGAGGAGGGAGAAGAUUGAAUGGAAGUGUUUUAUAUUCACUUGAACCACAAUUAUUUUGCUGACACAGGGCAAGGUAUUAACAGGGUUUUGCUGUUGGGGAAUUAAAAACCAUUUGGCCUAUC
rnacentral:lncRNA from 1 species